rnacentral:rRNA from 1 species
AUGUCGACCCGAGCACCUACUCCCCGGCGGAGGCAGCGAACCCCAGUGCAUUCAAUGCCUUCACGGUGUACGAUGGCCCGCAGGUCUGGAUAUCCACGGUGGCCGCCGGCACGCGCUCCUACAACAUCGCAAGCAGCCAUGGAGCAAGGCCCGCCCGUGCGCCACUGCUGUUCAGAGGCCGGGCCGAGCACGACCUCUGGUUUGGCUUCUCGUGCCAAGACGGGAGGCUCUGCGCAUCCGACCUCGCCCAAAUGCGACCGGUGCUGGAAGACGACCCGCCUCCGGCUGAGGCGUGCUCCCCGACAACGACGACGUGCAAAAAUGUUGUACGGAGUCAUGGUGCAGUCAAACCCAUGCUCAACACGUACAUCCUCUCACACCAUCUAUUGGGAUUUGUGUCCGGCGUGCAUCAAAACUCAUGGCAGGAGUCAUUAA